UGAUGUAAACAACAACUCGCCGUAUGUUGGCUAAAGCGUUUCAUUGUCUUCGCCAGUUCGCCUGUUAUCUCAAAAGCGGCCUUGUGCUACUGUGUUUGGGAAUGACAACUCGUGAGAAGCAUCUGGUGGUGAUGUGCUAGGAGGAACAUUACUUGGAAACAAGUCGAUGUUCUCGUGAAGCUUGUGUUUAUAUUUUGUAGCGUAGUAGUUACGUGAGAUGACAACUCAGAAACGAUGUCAUAUUCGCUACAGCUGUGUGUGUUACGGACAAGUAAUUUUAGUUUCUCACCAGGUUGAAUGCGAGGACUAUAGGCCUAUAAUACACUCCGUAUUAGAAUCGCUGUGUGAUUCGGGAUCUGAUAAACUGACGUACCCCGUAGACAGCUUUCAAGUUCAUGUUUUGAUCGAUGAAGAUUUUUGUUUCGCCUGUGUUACGAAGAGAACGAAUGAACACUACAUUCCUUUCAAAUUCCUGGAUACAGUGAAGGACAGAUUUUCUGGAUUAUCUAGCCUCAUUUCCAGAUCAUUAAGGGCAAAUGAAAAUGAAUUUGAACGUGAUUUUGCUCCCGUACUUGCAUCUGUGAUGUAUGAUUUCAACAUAGGACAGGGAGACAAGUUACAGGAACUGCAGUCUCAAGUGGAGGAUGUAAAACAAGUAAUGCUUGAAAAUGUGCAGAAAGUCUUAGACCGUGGAGAGAGGCUGGAUGACCUGCUCAGCAAAACUGAAGAUCUGGAAGCUGGGGGCAACACAUUUCGUCAGAGGACAUUGCAACUGUACAAAAAAGCGAGAUGUAGAAAUUUGAAGAUGUGGAUAAUAAUUGGCAGUUUUCUUAGUGUGGUACUGACAUUGGCCGUGCUUAUAUCCCUAGGAAUCUUGCAUUUAUGAUUCACUGAGAUGAAAGACAAUUGGAAGACAUUGUUUCUGACUGCAAGAGAAGGCUGUGGUACACAUUGUUUAUAUAGUGAUCAACAUAAACCAAAGAAUUUGACAAAAUAAACAGGCGCAGCUUCAUAAUGAAUAUUCUACUUUAUAACAGUGUGUACACUGUUAUGAAACAUUGUAUUGUAUUGGAUGUUUUUAGUUGUAAUGUGAGCUGGACAGUUCACUUGGUAAGAGCACUGCAAGCCAGGUUCUAGUCCUGUUCCAUGAAACAGUUUGAAUCUGCCAGGUAGCUUUUUUUGUGCAUUUUUAGGCUUUUCAUAAUGUAUGUGCAGAAUUUUACAGUGUGACUGAGCUUUGUUUACUGUCCAAUAGUGUUGUCAUUGGGGCAUUCAUUACACAGCACGAAAGUAUGUCAUACCAUUGUAUUCUUGAAUAUUCAGAUAUCCUCCAACUGGCAUUUACUUGAAGCAUUGGCACCAGUUGAUAUUGCUGGUGAUUGAAGACUGUGUGUUACUUUUGAUCCUUAAACCCCAUCUUAAAUUCUUGCUUGAUGUAUGAUUUUAAUUUAUGUUGUUUGAGUUCACCUAUAUAAUCAACUCACACAGUGUUUGUUCUCUAUCUGUGAAGUGAAGUGUCUAUAAUUUUGCUAACACUUUGAUGUUUUUAUGACAUGUGCUUUAUCUUGGUUUUAAUUGCUCAGUGAUAAUAUGAGCAUCACUGCCACAUUAGUAUUUUUCUCUGUUCUGUGCAUGUUACUCCUUUCUAAACAGAUUGCAUUUUCCCUGCAUUUCUACUCAUAAGUUUAUUUCCUUCAGGUUCC